AUUGAACGCUGGCGGCAUGCCUUACACAUGCAAGUCGAACGGCAGCACGGGUGCUUGCACCUGGUGGCGAGUGGCGAACGGGUGAGUAAUACAUCGGAACGUACCUUAUCGUGGGGGAUAACGCAGCGAAAGCUGUGCUAAUACCGCAUACGCCCUGAGGGGGAAAGCGGGGGAUCGCAAGACCUCGCGCGAUUAGAGCGGCCGAGGCCUGAUUAGCUUGUUGGUGGGGUAAAGGCCCACCAAGGCGACGAUCAGUAGCUGGUCUGAGAGGACGAUCAGCCACACUGGGACUGAGACACGGCCCAGACUCCUACGGGAGGCAGCAGUGGGGAAUUUUGGACAAUGGGGGCAACCCUGAUCCAGCAAUGCCGCGUGAGUGAAGAAGGCCUUCGGGUUGUAAAGCUCUUUUGUCAGGGAAGAACACCGGCUCUAACACAGUCCGGGAAUGACGGUACCUGAAGAAUAAGCACCGGCUAACUACGUGCCAGCAGCCGCGGUAA
rnacentral:rRNA from 1 species